CUCACAGCUGCCCUUCUUCUCUCUCUUAGAAGGAAGAGGAAGAGGGGGAAUCAAACAUAGCAUUUUGAUUACCAUCAAACAGAAGUCUCCACAGAGAGGAGGCUAUCUUCAGAUUUUACAUAGAGUUGUUACAUAAGACACCUCCCUCUCAUUUCCAGAGAUGAUUUUAAACUAUGACGAAUUGAUUUAAAGUUUAAAUGCUGUGGACAGGCUACUAUGUUUAAUGCAGUCAUGGGCCUUUGACUUUGUAACUGUUUUGUGAGAUUUACAUAAACUCUGGUGCUUAGAUGCCUCAUCUUUAGUACGGACUGUCUGACCAAGCACAAUGGACACAAACAGGAAUGAAAUGGACAUGUGGAGCUCAGAGGACAGCAUUUUGACUGAGACACAGUUUAAACCUGUGGAAAAUGAAAUCAAGAGCUGAAAUAUGUAUCUGGUGGUCUUAUGGAAAAACUAUCUGCAACUAAUGAAGCUAAUUUUAAAGAGAUGAAUUAUUCCUUGAAUCUGCAAGGACAUUUUAUUAUGUUCAAGACCAUUUGAAAUAUGAUGAAGAUUUUCCAUUGCUUUUACAAUAUAUUUUACCAUUCUACU
rnacentral:lncRNA from 1 species